rnacentral:rRNA from 1 species
UAGAGUUUGAUCAUGGCUCAGAGCGAACGCUGGCGGCAGGCUUAACACAUGCAAGUCGAGCGGGCCCUUCGGGGUCAGCGGCGGACGGGUGAGUAACGCGUGGGAACGUGCCUUCUGGUCUGGAAUAACCCUGGGAAACUAGGGCUAAUACCGGAUACGCCCUUUUGGGGAAAGGUUUACUGCCGGAAGAUCGGCCCGCGUCUGAUUAGCUAGUUGGUGGGGUAACGGCCUACCAAGGCGACGAUCAGUAGCUGGUCUGAGAGGAUGAUCAGCCACACUGGGACUGAGACACGGCCCAGACUCCUACGGGAGGCAGCAGUGGGGAAUAUUGGACAAUGGGCGCAAGCCUGAUCCAGCCAUGCCGCGUGAGUGAUGAAGGCCUUAGGGUUGUAAAGCUCUUUUAUCCGGGACGAUAAUGACGGUACCGGAGGAAUAAGCCCCGGCUAACUUCGUGCCAGCAGCCGCGGUAAUACGAAGGGGGCUAGCGUUGCUCGGAAUCACUGGGCGUAAAGGGCGCGUAGGCGGCGUUUUAAGUCGGGGGUGAAAGCCUGUGGCUCAACCACAGAAUGGCCUUCGAUACUGGGACGCUUGAGUAUGGUAGAAGGUUGGUGGAACUGCGAGUGUAGAGGUGAAAUUCGUAGAUAUUCGCAAGAACACCGGUGGCGAAGGCGGCCAACUGGACCAUUACUGACGCUGA